rnacentral:rRNA from 1 species
UGUGUUGUUGGGUAGGGGAGCGUUCUGUAAGCCUGUGAAGGUGUGUCGUGAGGCAUGCUGGAGGUAUCAGAAGUGCGAAUGCUGACAUAAGUAACGAUAAAGCGGGUGAAAAGCCCGCUCGCCGGAAGACCAAGGGUUCCUGUCCAACGUUAAUCGGGGCAGGGUGAGUCGACCCCUAAGGCGAGGCCGAAAGGCGUAGUCGAUGGGAAACGGGUUAAUAUUCCCGUACUUGGUGUUACUGCGAAGGGGGGACGGAGAAGGCUAUGUUGGCCGGGCGACGGUUGUCCCGGUUUAAGCGUGUAGGUGUGUGUUCCAGGUAAAUCCGGUUCACUUUAACACUGAGGCGUGACGACGAGGCACUACGGUGCUGAAGCAACAAAUGCCCUGCUUCCAGGAAAAGCCUCUAAGCAUCAGGUAACAUCAAAUCGUACCCCAAACCGACACAGGUGGUCAGGUAGAGAAUACCAAGGCGCUUGAGAGAACUCGGGUGAAGGAACUAGGCAAAAUGGUGCCGUAACUUCGGGAGAAGGCACGCUGACACGUAGGUGAAGUGAUUUACUCAUGGAGCUGAAGUCAGUCGAAGAUACCAGCUGGCUGCAACUGUUUAUUAAAAACACAGCACUGUGCAAACACGAAAGUGGACGUAUACGGUGUGACGCCUGCCCGGUGCCGGAAGGUUAAUUGAUGGGGUCAGCGCAAGCGAAGCUCCUGAUCGAAGCCCCGGUAAACGGCGGCCGUAACUAUAACGGUCCUAAGGUAGCGAAAUUCCUUGUCGGGUAAGUUCCGACCUGCACGAAUGGCGUAAUGAUGGCCAGGCUGUCUCCACCCGAGACUCAGUGAAAUUGAACUCGCUGUGAAGAUGCAGUGUACCCGCGGCAAGACGGAAAGACCCCGUGAACCUUUACUAUAGCUUGACACUGAACAUUGAGCCUUGAUGUGUAGGAUAGGUGGGAGGCUUUGAAGUGUGGACGCCAGUCUGCAUGGAGCCGACCUUGAAAUACCACCCUUUAAUGUUUGAUGUUCUAACGUGGACCCGUGAUCCGGGUUGCGGACAGUGUCUGGUGGGUAGUUUGACUGGGGCGGUCUCCUCCUAAAGAGUAACGGAGGAGCACGAAGGUUGGCUAAUCCUGGUCGGACAUCAGGAGGUUAGUGCAAUGGCAUAAGCCAGCUUGACUGCGAGCGUGACGGCGCGAGCAGGUGCGAAAGCAGGUCAUAGUGAUCCGGUGGUUCUGAAUGGAAGGGCCAUCGCUCAACGGAUAAAAGGUACUCCGGGGAUAACAGGCUGAUACCGCCCAAGAGUUCAUAUCGACGGCGGUGUUUGGCACCUCGAUGUCGGCUCAUCACAUCCUGGGGCUGAAGUAGGUCCCAAGGGUAUGGCUGUUCGCCAUUUAAAGUGGUACGCGAGCUGGGUUUAGAACGUCGUGAGACAGUUCGGUCCCUAUCUGCCGUGGGCGCUGGAGAACUGAGGGGGGCUGCUCCUAGUACGAGAGGACCGGAGUGGACGCAUCACUGGUGUUCGGGUUGUCAUGCCAAUGGCACUGCCCGGUAGCUAAAUGCGGAAGAGAUAAGUGCUGAAAGCAUCUAAGCACGAAACUUGCCCCGAGAUGAGUUCUCCCUGAGACUUAGAGUCUCCUGAAGGAACGUUGAAGACGACGACGUUGAUAGGCCGGGUGUGUAAGCGCAGCGAUGCGUUGAGCUAACCGGUACUAAUGAACCGUGAGG